CUUGUGAUUAAUGGCCACUUGUGCUAGGACCAGUAACUUAUGGAAAGAUUCCAUGAGGUCAUAGCACUCUCCACCUCACCUUGUGGAAACUGGUGUUUUUAGAGUGUGAUAAACUUCAGGUGAAGGGAUGCAGUCAGCAAGACCACGCUCUAGAGUGGGAUACACAGCAGUCAUAUUGAGUCCUUGCUGGGAAGAAAAGAAAUCCAGAAGAGGGAGGAGGCUUGGGUUAGAGGAAGAAUCAUAAAAUAUUUAGAGAAUAUAAGAAGGUAGCCAUACUUUUGGAUGAAUUUGGAAAGCUGUUGACCUUCAACAAGCUCCAUGAUGAGACAUAAUUUUGUUUUGCUCACAAUGACUUGAAGAAGUGAGAUCAUGGUGAGGUGGUCACCCAUCAUCAUCAAUGCCAUGGUCAUUACUGGCUGGCAUCAUUGCUUCUACAUUAGCAGGACUUUGAUGUCCACUAUGCAGCAACUCCACUGUGAUAGAUACUCUGCUGUCUAGGCAACUCCACUUUCUAAGGACUCCAAAUUUGAGGACAUCUACUAGCACAGGAUGUACACAUUUGCUGGACUUUCACUGUUGCAGCAACUCAACUCUUAAGGGAUGCCCACUGUUGCAGGUUUUCCAGUGUCUCAGCCCCGCCACUCUUGAAGGACCUUCACUAUUGUAGGACCUCCACUGUUGAAGCACAUUGAUUAUCUCACCAACUAGAAUUUAUAGGAUGUCAACUGGCACAGAAAGUCCACUGUUGCAUGACCACCAUUCUCACUGAAAAUCUACUGUCUCAGGACCUCUACCUUUGUAGGACCUCCAGUGUAGAAGGAUGUCCACUGUUGCAUGUCCACCACUGUCACAGGACCUCCUCUGUCACAGGACUUCCACUCUUCCAGGCUCAUCUCCACUGUCUCAGGACUUCUACUAUAUCUCUAGGACCUCCAAUGUCGCAGGACC
ensembl:lncRNA